GGGGUUGUGGCUCAGCGGUAGAGCGCUUGCCUAGCAUGCAUGAGGCACUGGGUUUAAUCCCAGCACCA
rnacentral:tRNA from 1 species